UACAGAGGUCUCAAGCGUUGUUCGGAUUCAUUGGGCGUAAAGGGUGCGUAGGUGGCGCCGUAAGUCGGGUGUGAAAUUUCGGAGCUUAACUCCGAAACUGCAUUCGAUACUGCGGUGCUUGAGGACUGGAGAGGAGACUGGAAUUCAUGGUGUAGCAGUGAAAUGCGUAGAGAUCAUGAGGAAGACCAGUGGCGAAGGCGGGUCACUGGACAGUUCCUGACACUGAGGCACGAAGGCCAGGGGAGCAAACGGG
rnacentral:rRNA from 1 species